UACAGAGGAUGCAAGCGUUAUCCGGAAUGAUUGGGCGUAAAGCGUCUGUAGGUGGCUUUUUAAGUCCGCCGUCAAAUCCCAGGGCUCAACUCUGGACAGGCGGUGGAAACUACCAAGCUGGAGUACGGUAGGGGCAGAGGGAAUUUCCGGUGGAGCGGUGAAAUGCGCAGAUAUCGGGAGGAACACCGGUGGCGAAGGCGGUUCUCUGGGCCUGUACUGACGCUGAGGAGCGAAAGCGUGGGGAGCGAACAGG
rnacentral:rRNA from 1 species